GACGAACGCUGGCGGCGUGCUUAACACAUGCAAGUCGAACGGGGUCCAUCGGAAAGCUUGCUUUCUGAGAAGACCUAGUGGCGAACGGGUGAGUAACGCGUGGGCAACCUGCCCCGGAGAUUGGGAUAACCGGUGGAAACACCAGCUAAUACCAAAUACCGUUGUUUGAUCGCAUGAUCGGACAACGAAAGUUCCGGCGCUCCGGGAUGGGCCCGCGUCCCAUUAGCUUGUUGGUAGGGUAACGGCCUACCAAGGCGACGAUGGGUAGCCGGCCUGAGAGGGUGAACGGCCACACUGGGACUGAGACACGGCCCAGACUCCUACGGGAGGCAGCAGUGGGGAAUAUUGCGCAAUGGGCGAAAGCCUGACGCAGCAACGCCGCGUGGAGGAUGAAGGUUUUCGGAUUGUAAACUCCUUUCAGCAGGGACGAAGCCGCAAGGUGACGGUACCUGCAGAAGAAGCCCCGGCUAACUACGUG
rnacentral:rRNA from 1 species